rnacentral:rRNA from 1 species
AUGCAGUCGACGGUCUCUUCGGAGACAGUGGCGGACGGGUGAGUAACGCGUGAGAAUGUGCCUUGAGGAUGGGGAUAACAAUAGGAAACUAAUGCUAAGACCCAAUGUGCCUUAAGUGGUGAAAAAUGAAAAUUGCCUGAAGAGGAGCUCGCGUCUGAUUAGCUAGUUGGGGUGGUAAAAGCGCACCAAGGCGACGAUCAGUAGCUGGUCUGAGAGGAUGAGCAGCCACACUGGGACUGAGACACGGCCCAGACUCCUACGGGAGGCAGCAGUGGGGAAUUUUCCGCAAUGGGCGAAAGCCUGACGGAGCAAUACCGCGUGAGGGAGGAAGGCUCUUGGGUUGUAAACCUCAAAACUUAGGGAAGAAAAAAAUGACGGUACCUAAUUUAAGCAUCGGCUAACUCCGUG